rnacentral:rRNA from 1 species
GAUGAACGCUAGCGGCAGGCUUAAUACAUGCAAGUCGUGGGGCAGCAUGAUGUAGCAAUACAUUGAUGGCGACCGGCAAACGGGUGCGGAACACGUACACAACCUUCCUUUUAGUGGAGAAUAGCCAAGAGAAAUUUGGAUUAAUACCCUAUAAGAUAAUGAGAUGGAAUCAUCUUAUUAUUAAAGCUACGGCGCUAGAAGAUGGGUGUGCGGCUGAUUAGGUAGUUGGCGGAGUAACGGCCCACCAAGCCUACGAUCAGUAGCUGAUGUGAGAUCAUGAUCAGCCACACGGGCACUGAGACACGGGCCCGACUCCUACGGGAGGCAGCAGUGGGGAAUAUUGGACAAUGGGGGAAACCCUGAUCCAGCCAUGCCGCGUGUGUGAGGAAGGCCUUCGGGUUGUAAAGCACUUUCAGUGGGGAGGAAGGCCCUGUGGCUAAUAUCCACGGGGAUUGGCGUUACCCACAGAAGAAGCACCGGCAAACUCCGUGCCAGCCGCCGCGGUAACAC